rnacentral:rRNA from 1 species
AGUGAACGCUGGCGGUAGGCCUAACACAUGCAAGUCGAACGGCAGCACAGUAAGAGCUUGCUCUUACGGGUGGCGAGUGGCGGACGGGUGAGGAAUACAUCGGAAUCUACUUUUUCGUGGGGGAUAACGUAGGGAAACUUACGCUAAUACCGCAUACGACCUACGGGUGAAAGCAGGGGAUCUUCGGACCUUGCGCGAUUGCAUGAGCCGAUGUCGGAUUAGCUAGUUGGCGGGGUAAAGGCCCACCAAGGCGACGAUCCGUAGCUGGUCUGAGAGGAUGAUCAGCCACACUGGAACUGAGGCACGGUCCAGACCCCUACGGGAGGCAGCAGUGGGGAAUAUUGGACAAUGGGCGCAAGCCUGAUCCAGCCAUACCGCGUGGGUGAAGAAGGCCUUCGGGUUGUAAAGCCCUUUUGGUGGGAAAGAAAAGCAGCAGGUUAAUACCCCGCUGUUCUGACGGUACCCAAAGAAUAAGCACCGGCUAACUUCGUG